UUACCUUGGCGGGAGAGACAGGGUGCAGGCUACGUCGCAAGAAAAACAAAACAUCAUUGAAUUACGAUAGUCCCUCGGGUUGGAGGAUGAACCUUCUUUAUUUCACCCUAAGGAGCCCUUCACGUCCUGGACCAACAGAUCGACGUCGAAUGGAGGCUUACGUGCUUCAAGCCUCAUCAGGCGAUGCCACUUCAAGGCCACCCAUGUUGGAACGGCCGUGGGCGAAAUGCCAGACGAAGAUUCGUCUCCCGAACGGACAGACCUGCGACUGGCCCUCCCGGGCCACACUUCAUCAUUUUCUGGCUUUGACUAAAACCAAUAAGAAGCGUGAAGAGAAAAACAUCUGCCAUACGGAACAACAACAACCCUGAAGCUGCCUGUGCGCGAAUUCACUGAAAAUGCUUCUUUUGUUGAAGCUGUCGAGCACUAUAACAAUAAACUGACACGAGAUUGGCAGGA